AACAUCUAAUUGGAAUUUACAAUGCCCGAUAUUUCUACACAUCUGCCACAAAUUUAUGGAAAUCAAUAUUUAUAGAAACUGAACAUACCUUGGUUAAACGUAUAUGAAAUGGAUUAUCAUCAUUGAAGAACAUCAACCAGCUGUCGGCAAUGUGCAGGUGGACUGAGGAAUUUUCCGGUGUAUCCUUUAUGGACUGUACUCCGUCUUAGCACUAUCCUCAAGUUUUACCCGAGAGGCCACGCUUCAGGUUGGACCGUCUUCCAUAUAUCUACUGACUUCAUAUAAAUGAAAGUGUACUAAAGGCUCACUGAUCUACACUACCAGCUCAUGCUCAAUGUUACUGAACAACAAAGUAAUCCGACAAUCAGACUGGACCCGGUCAUGUUAGAUACCAGAGGAAGACGAAAAUAUAAUUGAUUCUGUACUGAUGCAUGACUUCGCUCGGAACGCGGCAAGAAUUAACAAUGGAAGAAAAUACUACAGACGUGUUUAUUAACAAUAAAGUUAUUUUUGUUUUUAUGAAAUAGCGAUUGAAUAAAAAUAUUAGG